UGACCCCAUUGCUCCAAGAUGAUACUUUCUUUUUACAAAUAAAAUGCUUCUUCAUAAUCAGUCAACAAUAUGCCCAAUGGGACCUUAUAUUUUCUAUGCUUCAUUUAAUUGUGAGAUAGUAAAAAUAUAGUCAUAUGUUAAAUAUAAUACGUGAAAGUCUAUGUACAUAUAUAUACACACACAAAAACAGAUAUGUGAUUAUAUCUAUAUAAUGCCCACAUACAUGUCUUCUAUGUAUUUUUGCCUCAUAUAUUUUGCAUGGGGGGGAGGGACUAUGCUGAAGGCAUUACAAAUGUAAAUGCUUUGAGAGAUACAAAUACACACACAGAGAUUAGUGUGUGUGUUUUAUUUGGUCCAUUCUAACUUACUCUUUGUCUUUGUGUUCAUUUGUGCCAACUCUACAUCCUCUUGGAGCCAAUAAUGUUAGAGUUCAAGUGUGGUAGUUAUCCUAUCCUUGAUGGAGAAAACAAUUUGGUGAAAUGACUUUUGCAAAGAUUUUCCCUUUUCCUUAUUUGUUUUUCUAUUUUCAUCCUUGAAUGCCCCUCGGAUGCCUUUGCUUUUAUGGAUAUUUUGUCAUUUUUUUCUACAAACUGGAUUUUAUUCUUCACUGAUCCUCUCUGCUUUGUGAGUGUUGUUUAUAAUUGUAAUUUUAUGGAUCAGUUUCUGAUGUUGCUUCUGGUAGCUAUUUCUCUUCAUUUUACAAGGAAGCUGGCUAUUUACUGACUAAAAUGUUUUCUGAGAUUCUUUUAUCUCCUUUUUUGGAUUUUAGGUGUGGCAAUUACUUUGUAUUAGUUAUACUUUAAGAUGAAAUUAUUAUGGCUUCUUUCAUUUUUAUUUCCUAUUAUAGUUUUGAUUUUCAAAAACUUGUUUAAUUCUCUGUGUGUACUCAGGCCAUCAAUUUAUCAGAGCUAAUAUCAAAUUUUGUCUUAAAAAAAGAGAAAAAGAGAAAUAGAAUUAGAAAAAAAUAGCGUAUAAUGAAAACCAUUUAAAUGUAACAUUUAAACAACACAUAGCUAGCUAGUAGGAAAAGGAACAAAUUUGUGAAGAUAGGAUUAACUCUCCUCUUGCCUAUUUUUAGCUAAUCAAAUUACCCCUACUUGACACUAAGAGAGGUAGCAAGUCACUUGCUAGAGUAGGUAGCAACUCUAGAGGCCACUGUCCUGCCCCUAGGCAGUGCUAGGCAAAUUGAAAGAUUGUGAUUGGUUCCCAUAAAGUAGGGAAGGGACAGGAAGGGAUAUAGAAAAAGGGUUAUAAAAAAUUCCGAACUUCCUGUCCAAGGUGGCUUCUCCUUUGGAGUUCGUCUUUGGACACUCUGCAUCAGUGAGCUGUACUGAAGGAAGAGACUCUUUCCCUGCAUCCUGCAUCAGCUUGCUGUGACAUCAUUAUAUCCUCUUUCAUCUGCUGUACCCUGUACCUAUGUGACUUCAUCGGGAGAAAGGAGUUUGAGCAUUACAUUACAGAAUGCAAUGUCUGCUCCAUUGUCAAUUGCAUGUGAUGACUUACAAGGGCUCAUAUAAGGCCUCAGACAUUAAAAUUCACAAGAAAGGUAAAAAGUAUCACUUGUAAGUUACAUGAAGAAACACCAGAUCCAUUUGCAGGAGAUAAUGGACUUAUUCCUCUUCUCAUUAUACCUGACUUCUAUGUCUUCAUCAAGGAGUCUAAUUUAAGUCACAGUAUUGCUACCAACUCCAUCAGAGUCUUAUUAAGUGCAGAAAAAAAGUUAAAACACAGAAUGAUAUGGUGAUAGAAUGUGAGAAGGGAAAUAAGGAAAAAAGCAGGGGACAGAGGAAAUGAGGAGGCUAAUGCCAAAACUCUUCUGUAAUCCUCACCAGAACAAGAUUACCCUUCCAUCAACAUGUGUCUCACACAUGUUCCAAGAGUUUUGUGAGCUUGGAAUCUUUUGAACUUGAUAAUUAUUCAUCAUGACAUAUGCCAUAUUGUAAGCAAAAACUCUAGGGUUCCUCCUUGAAAACAGGAGCUUUCACAGGUGUUUAUCAUACAGGAUUAAAAUUAUACAAAA